rnacentral:tRNA from 2 species
CGGGAUGUGGCUCAGUUUGGUAGAGCGCUGCGUUCGGGACGCAGAGAUCGAAGGUUCGAAUCCUUUCAUCCCGACCA